rnacentral:snoRNA from 1 species
GUGCAGGCAGUUAUCCCUUUCUUGCCUAAUUUUUGUGGUUCUAGAGGGAGUCAGUCUGCUAAAUGAAUUUCAGGAAUGCUGCAUCCUGGUCCCGUGCAGUUGGGUAUCAUGAACAGCUUUCCAUACAUUG